AAUCAACGCUGGCGGCGCGCUUAACACAUGCAAGUCGAACGAGAAAGGGGAGCAAUCCCUGAGUACAGUGGCGUACGGGUGAGUAACACGUGGAUGAUCUAUCUCUUAGUGGGGAAUAACCCUGGGAAACCGGGGAUAAUACCGCAUAAGCUCGAGAGAGGAAAGCAGCAAUGCGCUGAGAGAGGAGUCCGCGGCCGAUUAGCUAGUUGGCAGGGUAAAAGCCACCAAGGCAGAGAUCGGUAGCCGGCCUGAGAGGGCACACGGCCACACUGGCACUGAAACACGGGCCAGACUCCUACGGGAGGCAGCAGUGGGGAAUCUUGCACAAUGGGGGAAACCCUGAUGCAGCGACGCCGCGUGAGCGAUGAAGCCC
rnacentral:rRNA from 1 species